rnacentral:rRNA from 1 species
UGCCUACGGGACGCAGCAGUGAGGAAUAUUGGUCAAUGGGAGAGAUCCUGAACCAGCCAAGCCGCGUGAGGGAAGACGGCCCUAUGGGUUGUAAACCUCUUUUGCCGGGGAGCAACGGGGUCCUUGCGAGGGCCCGAUGAGAGUACCCGGAGAAAAAGCAUCGGCUAACUCCGUGCCAGCAGCCGCGGUAAUACGGAGGAUGCGAGCGUUAUCCGGAUUUAUUGGGUUUAAAGGGUGCGUAGGCGGGCUGUUAAGUCAGCGGUCAAAUGUCGGGGCUCAACCCCGGCCUGCCGUUGAAACUGGCG